rnacentral:tRNA from 1 species
GGAGUAGCCAAGCGGUUAAGGCACGGGACUUUGACUCCCGCAUCGUGGGUUCGAUUCCCGCCUCCC